rnacentral:tRNA from 1 species
GCCUAGAUAGCUCAGUUGGGAGAGCGUUAGACUGAAGAUCUAAAGGUCCCCGGUUCAAACCCGGGUCUGGGCA